rnacentral:tRNA from 1 species
CGGGUUGUGGCCUAGCUUGGUUAGGGCGCCAUACUGGGGGUGUGGAGGUCGCGGGUUCAAAUCCCGCCAACCCGA